rnacentral:rRNA from 1 species
UUUAACGGCCGCAGUAUUUUGACUGUGCAAAGGUAGCAUAAUCAUUAGUCUUUUAAUAGGGGGCUGGUAUGAAGGGUUUGACGAGGUGUUUACUGUCUCAUUUAAUUUGUAUUUAGAAUUUAACUUUUCAGUUAAAAGGCUGAAAUUAUAUUGGAAGACGAGAAGACCCUAUAGAGCUUUAUAAUUGAAAUUUUAAUUAUUUUUUGUUUAUUAUUUUUUAUUAUUAUUUUAAUUAUUUUGUUGGGGUGACAAGAAUAUAUAAUUAACUUUUUUAUUUAAUUAACAUUGAUUUAUGAUUAUUAGAUCCAUUAUUAAUGAUUGUUAGAUUAAGUUACCUUAGGGAUAACAGCGUAAUCUUCCUUCAGAGUUCAUAUUUACGGGAAGGCUUGCGACCUCGAUGUUGGAUUAAGAUAAUAAUUAGGUGUAGCCGCUUAAUAUAUAGGUCUGUUCGACCUUUAAAUUCUUACAUGAUCUGA